rnacentral:rRNA from 1 species
UAAGUGAAUAGUGAAACCUGGUGGCUCAACCAUACAGACUAUUAUUCAAACUGGCUAACUCGAGAAUAGCAGAGGUAACUGGAAUUUCUUGUGUAGGAGUGAAAUCCGUAGAUAUAAGAAGGAACACCAAUGGCGUAGGCAGGUUACUGGGCUAUUUCUGACGCUAAGGCACGAAAGCGUGGGGAGCGAACCGGAUUAGAUACCCGGGUAGUCCACGCCGUAAACGAUGGAUACUA